GACAGAGGGUGCAAACGUUGCUCGGAAUUACUGGGCGUAAAGCGUGUGUAGGCGGACGCCUAAGUACCUUGUGAAAUCCCACGGCUUAACCGUGGAACUGCUGGGUAUACUGGGUGUCUUGAGCCAUCUAGGGGCCUGCGGAACAAACGGUGGAGCGGUGAAAUGCGUAGAUAUCAGGAGGAACACCCGUAGCGAAGGCGGCACUCUGGGCCGAUACUGACACUGAGGAGCGAAAGCGUGGGGAGCGAACAGG
rnacentral:rRNA from 1 species